rnacentral:rRNA from 1 species
UACGUAGGGUGCGAGCGUUGUCCGGAAUUAUUGGGCGUAAAGAGCUUGUAGGCGGUCUGUCGCGUCUGCUGUGAAAAUCCGGGGCUCAACCCCGGGCUUGCAGUGGGUACGGGCAGACUAGAGUGUGGUAGGGGAGACUGGAAUUCCUGGUGUAGCGGUGAAAUGCGCAGAUAUCAGGAGGAACACCGAUGGCGAAGGCAGGUCUCUGGGCCACUACUGACGCUGAGAAGCGAAAGCAUGGGGAGCGAACAGG